GAUGAACGCUAGCUACAGGCUUAACACAUGCAAGUCGCGGGGCAGCAUGGGGGUUGCUUGCCAUCCCCGAUGGCGACCGGCGCACGGGUGAGUAACGCGUAUCCAACCUGCCCUUCACCACGGGAUAACCCGGCGAAAGUCGGACUAAUACCGUAUGUUGUCCAUUGACGGCCUCCGAUUUGGACGAAAGGUUUGGCGGUGAAGGAUGGGGAUGCGUCCGAUUAGCUGGACGGCGGGGUGACGGCCCACCGGGGCGACGAUCGGUAGGGGUUCUGAGAGGAAGGUCCCCCACACUGGAACUGAGACACGGUCCAGACUCCUACGGGAGGCAGCAGUGAGGAAUAUUGGUCAAUGGGCGUAAGCCUGAACCAGCCAAGUAGCGUGCAGGAUGACGGCCCUAUGGGUUGUAAACUGCUUUUAUGCGGGGAUAAAGUGGCCCACGUGUGGGUUUUUGCAGGUACCGAAUGAAUAAGGACCGGCUAAUUCCGUG
rnacentral:rRNA from 1 species